GCGACUUACGUUCAGUAGCGAGCUUAACCGAGUAGGGGAGGCGUAGGGAAACCGAGUCCGAAUAGGGCGCAUAGUUGCUGGGCGUAGACCCGAAAACCAAGUGAUCUAUCCAUGGCCAGGUUGAAGGUGCCGUAACAGGUACUGGAGGACCGAACCCACUAGUGUUGCAAAACUAGGGGAUGAGCUGUGGAUAGGGGUGAAAGGCUAAACAAACUUGGAAAUAGCUGGUUCUCUCCGAAAACUAUUUAGGUAGUGCCUCACGUAUCACUCUCGGGGGUAGAGCACUGUCAUGGCUAGGGGGUCAUCGCGACUUACCAAACCAUAGCAAACUCCGAAUACCGAGAAGUGCGAGCGUGGGAGACAGACAUCGGGUGCUAACGUCCGGUGUCAAGAGGGAAACAACCCAGACCGCCAGCUAAGGUCCCAAAUGACGUGCUAAGCGGUAAACGAAGUGGGAAGGCAUAGACAGCCAGGAUGUUGGCUUAGAAGCAGCCAUCAUUAAAGAAGACGUAAUAGCUCACUGGUCGAGUCGUCCUGCGACGG
rnacentral:rRNA from 1 species